CUGUGCUGGCAGAGAGGGCAGCUCAGCUCAGAGAUGCCCAGGCCCAAAUCUCCAGGAACAGACUAUUGAUUGAAGAGCUCCAUGGAGAGAACAGGAGGUUUGCAAUGGCCCUACAGGCUGCUGAGCUGAAGCAGAAGAGCAUGGAGGAGAAGAACCAGCUGUUGGAGGAACAAGCCUCAGCUCUGAAGCAGCUUAUUGGAAAAAUCACACCAGCAUCUCUGAGUGGGUGAUGGGAUGUGUGCAGUGGUCCUGGCUGGGGCUGGUCUGGUGCAGAAUGGGAGGUAUGGGUUGGGAAAUCAGCCUUGUCCUUUCUGGUCUUGCCAGGAUUUUCCUGUGCAGAAAAUAGCAAAUGGGGAGCCUAGAGUCCUUUUUGUGGAAAUUGGUCCCGUGGAUAGCUGAAUUUUCCAACUGAAAGCAGCAGCCUUGGUGCCUUUCUGUGGCAGUGUGCUGUUUUGUCAUGCCUGUCUCAGGGCAGCCAUUUCACAGGAUUUUCUUUGGCAGUGUUUGCUGGUGAUGCAGGUGCUUGCUCUCUGCAGAAAGCUGAUGUUGGAGCCACAGUUACAUCUUGAAAGCCAGGGCAGAAGGGCUUGCAGGCCCCUGUGCCUGGCUCACUCCAAGCAGGAGAGCUGAAUUGUGGCAUUAAAAUGUUUGUAAUGUUACAGCA